rnacentral:rRNA from 1 species
ACGCUCGACACCUACGAGAGGCAGCAGUGGGGAAUAUUGCACAAUGGGGGAAACCCUGAUGCAGCGACGCCGCGUGAGUGAAGAAGUAAUUCGUUAUGUAAAGCUCUAUCAGCAGGGAAGAAAGUGACGGUACCUGAGUAAGAAGCCCCGGCUAACUACGUGCAGCAGCGCGGUAAUCUGAGCGGGCUGGCAAGGC